ensembl:lncRNA
CUUGCAGGGGAGCUGGAACAUGAUGAUCCUUGAGGCCUCUUCCCAUCUGUAAGAGAUUAUUCUUUUGCAUCAUUGUUUCAAAGCUUGCUGAGGACACAGAUGGACAAGUCUAGGCAAGUCCUAGUCAAAGUUAGCAAAAUCUUUUGUCUGAAGAUUUUCAGUCCAGGGACAAUGUGAGAGAAAUAAGCCACAGCUUAAAGGCUGGGAACCAGUCUUUUGUGUGGGCUUAUCUUGAGGGAGAUAGCCAUCUCAGGGGGUACUGCACAUGGCUCUUACCGAAGUACCCAGGAAUGCCACAUUGGCAAAAGAAGAAGGAUAAAAAGAGGACCAACAACCAUGAGGUUUCUGACAUCAGAUUCCUCACAGCGUGAUGCCUGCACGCUGAAGAAAAAGGUGUCUGACAUCAGAUGCUUCAUGAUGUGACACCUUGCAUGAUGACAGACUCUCCUGGGCCUGCUACCUAAGACCUGCCACUUCCUCUUGGACUUACCCUGUCCCUGUACCUUCUUGCUGCCUAAGGCCGACCUCUCUGCUGCUGCUCUCAUCCUGCGCUUUUGCCUUGGACCAUUGGAAUGGCAUGCAACAGGACCGCUGCUGGAUCUUGGUGGCCAAAGAGUACAUCUCUUCAUGAUCACCCUUGGCAAUCACAGUAUCACAGAAUCACAGAAUGGCCUGGGUUGGAAGGGACCUCAAGGAUCAUGAAUCUCCAACCCCCCUGCCGGGCAGGGCCACCAACCUCCCCAUUUACUAGACCAGGUUGCCCAGGGC